UUUCUCCAGAUCUAUUUUUGUGCAUUUUAUUCAAAUUCACAGUAUUAUUCUGUUUAUAUCCCUAUUUUGUUAUGCCUCUGAAACAUUUUUCUUUUUUAAACAAUUUUUUUGAAAGAUUAUGCAAAGAUACGAUGAGAUUUGGGUUGAUAAACAAGAUUUCCAUUGGAGAGAGAGAACAACGACAGAUGAGAGAGUGAGAGAGACGACCCUCAAAGCAUCAGCGUCCGAAGAACGCAAUAGUACCAAUCUGGCCGCAUGGGGUGGACCCGCAGCAGAAGAUACGUUGCGGUCGGGUCACCAGACAGCGCAAAGACCCGGCCAUUUAGCUACAGUUUCCGUUGUUUGAACCUCCCCAAGCAUGGGCAGCUCCAGGCGACAGCCCUUCUGCAACUCCAGCGACCGGAACUUUCUCAGGAAAAAGAUAUCUGUAAUAUAUAUGAUCACACCAGGGAGCGGGAUUCUCCAUCAUUGUUAUGUUAUAUGGUGUGUAAUUUUUAUUUUUUUUCUUUCCUUUCUUUAUCUAUGUCCUGUUUUCAUUUUUAUGUUCACAGAAUUUUGUGGGACAAAUGGCUAUUGAAUUUGAUAUACCGUUCUGCACUAAUAAGGCUUCCAACGAUAAGCAGUCCCUCCGCCAACGUGCUCUUUCCCUCGACUCUUCCAUCCGUCAGUGCCGUUCCUUCUUUGAUUCCUCCUUUCCCAUAAGCUCUUCGAUCCCAAGCUAGCUGAUAAGUCCUGCAGCUCGAAGAAAAUUUACAUAGAGCUAUAAGUAUUAUGGUUGAUGGAGACGUCGCUGCUUUCUUCCAACCAAAGCUCAAGAUUUCUGCGGUUUUCUAAAAAUGUUACUGGGACCAAUGAAUGUCUGAGCCUCUCGCAAAGACCUUCAAUUGAAGUUUAAGGAGGAGUACAAUUGUUACGGGGUAGUCUCAUUCCUUCCCUCCUCUCUUAUAGUUGUUUAGUAUUUGAGCGUCUUGAAUCAUAUUAUCCCUUAACUUUUCUUUGGGUAUUUUUUAAUUGUAUAAAUUACUUUAUUCUUGCCUUUUGUAAUAGUUUAGUUCAUUGAAAGUAGUGUUGAUUUGUUACUCGAUGUUUCUUUGGUAUUGGUUUUUAUGAUUUUGCUUAGUAAGCUUUCUUUUUUAUUUCAAUUAGAUAUGGUGGAUAUAUAAAAUUUUAAAGUUAAUUAUCAUAUUAAAGGAACUAUGUUGAUAUGAAAUGUUUGCAGUAAUAUUCAGGUCCUUCGUUGAAGCAUCAAGAUACCUCAUCAAACAUGGAUUGUACAGAGUUAUUGAGUUAUUUGGCAUGAUGGUUGAUGUUAUUGUUGAUAAUAAAUUUGUUCUAUUGGUUCGAAGUUGAUAGAUUGUUUUGUAGGAUGGGAUUUCCUAGAAAAAUGGUUGUUAAAGCAAUUCAAGAAAAAGGUAAAGGUUCUUUCUUAUUCUGAUUUGAAUUAUCUAAACACAUGCGUGCAAGGCACAAGUUGAAAUCUUCAUUUGUAACACUGCUGUGCUGAAAUAAUUCUUCAGGAAAGGAAAAUACCGAUUUGAUACUUAAAACUUUUCUUAAUUGCUCGGUGUGAUUCAUAAUUUAUUUUUCCUGGAAAUCAAUUUCAAAUUGUUAAUUUUCUCGAGUUAGAAGCUUAUUGGAGUACUUUUCUCCAAUUGUUA
rnacentral:misc_RNA from 1 species